GAUGAACGCUAGCGGCAGGCCUAACACAUGCAAGUCGAGGGAGAAGCCCUUUCGGGGGCAGAAACCGGCGCACGGGUGCGUAACGCGUAUGCAACCUACCUUUCACAGGGGGAUAGCCCGAAGAAAUUUGGAUUAAUACCCCAUAAUAUUAUUGGAUGGCAUCAUUUGAUAAUUAAAACUGCGGUGGUGAAAGAUGGGCAUGCGUCCUAUUAGCUAGUUGGAGUGGUAACGGCACCCCAAGGCUACGAUAGGUAGGGGUCCUGAGAGGGAGAUCCCCCACACUGGUACUGAGACAGGGACCAGACUCCUACGGGAGGCAGCAGUGAGGAAUAUUGGUCAAUGGUCGGAAGACUGAACCAGCCAUGCCGCGUGCAGGAAGAAUGCCUUAUGGGUUGUAAACUGCUUUUAUUUGGGAAGAAUAAGGCGUACGUGUACGUUGAUGACGGUACCAUAUGAAUAAGCAUCGGCUAACUCCGUG
rnacentral:rRNA from 1 species